rnacentral:lncRNA from 7 species
GGGAGGAGCCCCGACGUUGCGCAAGGCCCGGGGAAGGGCUCCGGACCGUACAUAAGGUCGGCAGAGUGCGGGCGUUGCGAGGGCAGUGCCAUGGAGCCGUGUCCGCUGCUGCUGCUGCUGCUUCUGCUGGCCCCGUGCGGCCGGGGCUGGGCGGUGUCGGGCCGUGCACCGGCGGAGGAGACGGCACGGACAGACGGCCGCUCCGUGCUACCCGGGGAGCCUGUUAAGUGCCACAAGACCAGCAUGACCGCUGGGAGCCCCUGUAACAACGUCUGCUCCUCAAAGUGCCCGGGGAGCACUGGAUGUGGACAAGAGUGCCAGCAAGAAAAGGAUGAUUUCCACCCUCGGACUGACACUGACCCAACGACCAACUGCGUGAACAACUGCAGAGACGACGGCAACUGCAGGGGCAGCAGGAAGUGUUGCCACAUCAGGUGUCCGUUCCGCUGCCCACAGCCGGUACCAGCCAGACCGGACACCUAUCCCAAGAAGAAGGUGCCGCACAUCAUCGGCUGCUGCAACAGCACCUGCAGCAGUGACACCGACUUCCCCAACCACCUGCGGUGCUGCCAACCCAUGCGCAGGAGCUCCAGGAUCACCGUCGCUCUGUCCCUGUUGGACUUGGGCUGCUGGUGGUGCUCUGAUCCCGAGAAGCUGUGCCGCCUGAUCCCGGAGCAUCGCCUCUGCAGGAAACGCACCUAUUGCUAUGCCUGCAUCCCCGCCUUGAGGUCGUGCCGGGUGUUUGUGCAUAGCAGCUGCGGGGGGAAUGCCAACAACUUCCGUACCCUGGCGGAGUGCCAGCAGGUCUGCCAGCACGGGCUGCAUAAGCACUGACCUCAGGACACCACAACCCGCCCAGAUCUGCAGAGCCGACCGCUCUGCCCCAGACAAUAAAGCCGCCAGGAUGCCUGG